rnacentral:rRNA from 1 species
GACGAACGCUGGCGGCGUGCCUAAUACAUGCAAGUUGAGCGCUGAAGGUUGGUACUUGUUCCGACUGGAUGAGCAGCGAACGGGUGAGUAACGCGUGGGGAAUCUGCCUUUGAGCGGGGGACAACAUUUGGAAACGAAUGCUAAUACCGCAUAAAAACUUUAAACACAAGUUUCAAGUUUGAAAGAUGCAAUUGCAUCACUCAAAGAUGAUCCCGCGUUGUAUUAGCUAGUUGGUUAAGUAAAGGCUCACCAAGGCGAUGAUACAUAGCCGACCUGAGAGGGUGAUCGGCCACAUUGGGACUGAGACACGGCCCAAACUCCUACGGGAGGGAGCAGUAAGGAAUCUUCGGCAAAGGACGAAAGUCUGACCGAGCAACGCCGCGUGAGUGAAGAAGGUUUUCGGAUCGUAAAACUCUGUUGGUAGAGAAGAACGUUGGUGAGAGUGGAAAGCGCAUCAAGUGACGGUAACUACCCAGAAAGGGACGGCUAACUACGUG